rnacentral:rRNA from 1 species
UACGGAGGGUGCAAGCGUUAUCCGGAUUCACUGGGUUUAAAGGGUGCGUAGGCGGGUAAGUAAGUCCGUGGUGAAAUCUCUGAGCUUAACUCAGAAACUGCCGUGGAUACUAUUUGCCUUGAAUAUUGUGGAGGUGAGCGGAAUAUGUCAUGUAGCGGUGAAAUGCUUAGAUAUGACAUAGAAUACCAAUUGCGAAGGCAGCUCACUACACAAUCAUUGACGCUGAGGCACGAAAGCGUGGGGAUCAAACAGG